rnacentral:rRNA from 1 species
GAUGAACGCUGGCGGCGUGCCUAACACAUGCAAGUCGAACGAACCUAAUCUUCGGAAAGGGUUAGUGGCGCACGGGUGAGUAACACGUAGGUGACCUACCCCAGAGUGGGGGAUAACGUCUCGAAAGAGACGCUAAUACCGCAUACGCUCAGCCAUUCAGUUGGUUGAGUAAAGCUCCGGCGCUCUGGGAGGGGCCUGCGUCCGAUUAGCUUGUUGGUGGGGUAAUGGCCUACCAAGGCGAUGAUCGGUAGCUGGUCUGAGGGGACGAUCAGCCACACUGGCACUGACACACGGGCCAGACUCCUACGGGAGGCAGCAGUGAGGAAUAUUGCGCAAUGGGCGAAAGCCUGACGCAGCAACGCCGCGUGGAGGAUGAAGGCCUUCGGGUCGUAAACUCCUUUUCUGGGAGAAGAGACAAGGACGGUAUCCCAGGAAUAAGUCUCGGCUAACUACGUGCCAGCCGCCGCCGUAAUAC